AGUUUCUGAUACUGUUAUUAGUGAGGUGAGCAUUAGGUGUGAACUUUGGGAUACUGGUUACUACUUAAGUUGAUCCUAACACUUAAAUAUUUUAACUUUAAAAAAUUAUUAAAUGUAAUUAAAGAUGAAGUUGUUAUCAUUUGAUCAUAUGUGGAAGUCAGGCUCCAUAGUUUAGAAUUAAUAUGCCUGGCCCCAUGGGACAUAGGGACUUCACCUCUCAACUCAGAGCCUUGAUCUGAGAAGCUUUGCCAAGCCCCAGACCCUUUCCUCUGUGCUGUGCUCUUUUGGAGCCUCCACACUCCCACCACAUACGGCUGCUCUGUACAGCCACACAGGAUGAAGCACUUCUCAGAAGCCAUAAGGAAACAGCUAAGAACUGAAACAAAACUCUGUACCUCCCUCCCAGACGAGUCAGCAGUAAGGGAUGAUCCGCAUCUCUUUCUAGGCUACAGAAGAAGUUUCCAAAAAUCUGGUUGCCAUGAAAGAAAUUCUGUAUGGCACAAAUGAAAAAGAGCCUCAGACAGAAGCAGUAGCUCAACUUGCUCAAGAACU
rnacentral:lncRNA from 1 species